GCAAAGACAAACCUCCUAAAUAGAGAGAUUAAUUCCACAUCAGUGAAACAUUAAAAAGGAAACAGGGUGCCAAGAAUCCCAUUAAUUUAGGAUAUAAGCGCCUGAAAUUUCCUCGAAACAGUUACACCAAGGAAUACCAACCAGACCAUGUCAAGCAGUUCUCCAUAAGGAUAGCGAAGCCUAUUAAAACUAUGGCCAAUAGAACCAUUUACAAGGAAGAAAAAAAUUCACCCAAGUCCUGUGUCUGAAUGAAGGCUCUCUUCUCAAAUGUUCCUCAUUACUCCAGAGCAGUUAUCUUUGGAUUAUAAUUAAAAUGGGGCUUUUUUUUU